UACAGAGGGUGCGAGCGUUAAUCGGAAUUACUGGGCGUAAAGGGUGCGUAGGUGGUUUAGUAAGUUAGGUGUGAAAGUCCUGGGCUUAACCUGGGGAUUGCGCCUGAUACUGUUAGACUAGAGUACUGUAGAGGGAAGUGGAAUUUCCGGUGUAGCAGUGAAAUGCGUAGAUAUCGGAAGGAACACCAGUGGCGAAGGCGACUUUCUGGACAGAUACUGACACUGAGGCACGAAAGCAUGGGGAGCAAACAGG
rnacentral:rRNA from 1 species